GGCUUUUCAAGACGCUCCAACUCUCUCUUCUCCUCGGAUGUAGUCCUCCAUAAAUUAUCAUCUUUGUAUUGUUGAAUUUCACCCUCAGGAAACUCCCCAGAUGGAAAAAGCUCAAUAACAGGAAUAGAGGGUGGAUCAGUCUGCUGUGGCAAUUCCUUCUUUUUCUUGCUUUUAUUUUUCUUCUUUUUCUUCUUUGAAACUU
rnacentral:misc_RNA from 1 species